UGAAGUGCAGCACAGUGAUAGAGCACCUGCUUAUCAUGCAGGAAGCCCAGGUUCCAUUCCUAGUACCUCCA
rnacentral:tRNA from 1 species